rnacentral:rRNA from 1 species
AUUGAACGCUGGCGGCAUGCUUUACACAUGCAAGUCGAACGAGUGGCGCACGGGUGAGUAAUACAUCGGAACGUGUCCUAUCGUGGGGGAUAACUGAUCGAAAGAUCAGCUAAUACCGCAUACGAUUGGAGCGGCCGAUGCCCGAUUAGCUAGUUGGUGAGGUAAAGGCUCACCAAGGCGACGAUCGGUAGCUGGUCUGAGAGGACGACCAGCCACACUGGGACUGAGACACGGCCCAGACUCCUACGGGAGGCAGCAGUGGGGAAUUUUGGACAAUGGGGGCAACCCUGAUCCAGCCAUGCCGCGUGCAGGAUGAAGGUCUUCGGAUUGUAAACUGCUUUUGUCAGGGAAGCGGUACCUGAAGAAUAAGCACCGGCUAACUACGUGCCAGCAGCCGCGGUAAUAC